rnacentral:rRNA from 1 species
UACUUAGUGGCGGACGGGUGAGUAACGCGUGGGUAACCUGCCCUGUACAGGGGGAUAACACUUAGAAAUAGGUGCUAAAACCGCAUAAGCGCACAGUACCGCAUGGUACAGCGUGAAAAACUCCGGUGGUACAGGAUGGACCCGCGUCUGAUUAGCUGGUUGGAGGGGUAACGGCCCACCAAGGCGACGAUCAGUAGCCGGCCUGAGAGGGUGAACGGCCACAUUGGGACUGAGACACGGCCCAAACUCCUACGGGAGGCAGCAG